rnacentral:rRNA from 1 species
GAGUGGCGAACGGGUGAGUAAUGUAUCGGAACGUACCUUUCAGUGGGGGAUAACGUAGCGAAAGUUACGCUAAUACCGCAUAUUCUGUGAGCAGGAAAGCAGGGGAUCGCAAGACCUUGCGCUGAUUGAGCGGCCGAUAUCAGAUUAGCUAGUUGGUGAGGUAAAGGCUCACCAAGGCGACGAUCUGUAGCGGGUCUGAGAGGAUGAUCCGCCACACUGGAACUGAGACACGGUCCAGACUCCUACGGGAGGCAGCAGUGGGGAAUUUUGGACAAUGGGGGCAACCCUGAUCCAGCCAUGCCGCGUGAGUGAAGAAGGCCUUCGGGUUGUAAAGCUCUUUCGGCCGGGAAGAAAUCGUAUGGGUUAAUACCCUGUGCGGAUGACGGUACCGGCAUAAGAAGCACCGGCUAACUACGUGCCAGCAGCCGCGGUAAUACGUAGGGUGCGAGCGUUAAUCGGAAUUACUGGGCGUAAAGCGUGCGCAGGCGGUUUUGUAAGACAGGCGUGAAAUCCCCGGGCUCAACCUGGGAACUGCGCUUGUGACUGCAAGGCUAGAGUAUGGCAGAGGGGGGUGGAAUUCCACGUGUAGCAGUGAAAUGCGUAGAGAUGUGGAGGAACACCAAUGGCGAAGGCAGCCCCCUGGGCCAAUACUGACGCUCAUGCACGAAAGCGUGGGUAGCAAACAGGAUUAGAUACCCUGGUAGUCCACGCCCUAAACGAUGUCAACUAGGUGUUGGGUGGGUAAAACCAUUUAGUACCGGAGCUAACGCGUGAAGUUGACCGCCUGGGGAGUACGGCCGCAAGGUUAAAACUCAAAGGAAUUGACGGGGACCCGCACAAGCGGUGGAUGAUGUGGAUUAAUUCGAUGCAACGCGAAAAACCUUACCUACCCUUGACAUGUCCAGGAGCCUGAAGAGAUUUGGGUGUGCCCGAAAGGGAACUGGAACACAGGUGCUGCAUGGCUGUCGUCAGCUCGCGUCGUGAGAUGUUGGGUUAAGUCCCGCAACGAGCGCAACCCUUGUCGUUAAUUGCCAUCAUUUAGUUGGGCACUUUAGCGAGACUGCCGGUGACAAACCGGAGGAAGGUGGGGAUGACGUCAAGUCCUCAUGGCCCUUAUGGGUAGGGCUUCACACGUCAUACAAUGGUCGGUACAAAGGGUUGCCAACCCGCGAGGGGGAGCCAAUCCCAGAAAGCCGAUCGUAGUCCGGAUUGCAGGCUGCAACUCGCCUGCAUGAAGUCGGAAUCGCUAGUAAUCGUGGAUCAGCAUGUCACGGUGAAUACGUUCCCGGGUCUUGUACACACCGCCCGUCACACCAUGGGAGCGGGUUCCGCCAGAAGUAGGUAGCCUAACCGCAAGGGGGGCGCUUACCACGGCGGGGUUCGUGACUGGGGUGAAGUCGUAACAAGGUA